rnacentral:tRNA from 1 species
GGUCUGCGAGCCCUCUGGUAGCCUAGAGGACUGUGGAUCCUUUCGCGCGGGUCCGAUUCCCGCCCCGGGCCC